CUUGCAAACCUUUCCCUCCUCCCCUCUCCUUGUUGACAAUCCACUUGAAACAAGACAGAUGUUGGGCCAGUUUUCUUUACGGUUGCUCUAAUUCCACAAGGUUUGCCUCUGGGAACAAGAACAGCAAAGAAAUGUUCUGAAAGGAAAAAAAGAGUGACCUUUUCCGCAGAGGCAUUUUAAACCUGUGUGAUGCUCAUGUAGCCAACCAAGAAUAUAAUAAAGAGAAAAAAGAUAGUGUAACUCAGGCCUGUGGAACAUGCAAGCAAGUGGUUCUAAGAGGCAGCCAAGCCCAGGAACCCAGGGUAAUUUUACAUAGGAACAUCAGAAGAUAUUAACAAUGAUGCCACGAAGAGUAAACAUUCUGCUAUUGCAUCCUGAUUGCCAGGAGAAAGAAAGUAGAACAAUUUCAUUCCUCCUGAGCCGGUGUAUACUGAUUGAUUCAAAUAAAGGGGCCUUUGGGGAAAACAAGAACAUUCUCAACUAAUUACAGUUUUGCAUAUUUUGUUAAUUUGUGAAAUUCAGGAUACACCCUACUGGUUUAUAGAUAUUGUUUUGACAAACCAAAGAUUAUGCU